AGGUACAUGCAUAAGGCCUAAAACCUUUACUUCAGGUGUUCAAAUCACCUCCCUAAUC
rnacentral:tRNA from 1 species